CCGCUCACCAUACAUUCUUGACCGGUUCAACCGAACCGGAUGGUUUAAGCAAACCUGUUGCAUCACGUCCCCCCACCGUCGGACCCUUGCGCCGAGCAGUGCUGUUCUUCAUUGCUGCUCGCCGCCAGCAUCCGUCAUCGCCGGCAGUCCUCGGUUAAGUUAUCUACUCUUGUUCAAAAAAGUUUUGAAGAGCAUGUACUAAUGUUCUUAAAAGAUCACAAGGUGCUGAAGUUGGAAGAUUGGGGAGAUCUGCAGAUUUUUGUGGAGGUGGCGGACAGGAACACAGAGCUUGUUGACCGAGGCACCCAAUUCGUGCAGUUCUACACCUCAGUUUCAAUUAGGAACGGGUUUCAUCCUAGAGGCUGUUUGGGCCUCCCAUUGUUCAAUCUUCAGGUGCUUGUAUGACCAGUGAAUCAACAAUUAAGGCCGAAUUACUUUUACUCCCUACCUUCUGGAUGUGGUCAAGACUACUGGGCCCCCUACCAUUUCAAACCCCCCUUCCCUCUCUCUCUCUCGCAUACGCAUGGAUGGUACCCCAGUUAUGGUCUCCAUGAUGACUUGCAAAUUUGGUUUGAUAGACAUUUUUAUUUGGUUUCUGACAUUUUGGAAACCGUAUAUACUGUGCUAUUGAACCUGAUGAUUAUUUUGAUCUUGGAAUUUGAAGGUGGAUUAGUAUUCCUGCAUUUGCACUAUUUUCUUUUAUAAUUGAUGAUGCAUACUUUAGGAGAGACCCGAGGAGAUGUUACGCACUGAGUUAUCAGACCUUGCAGGUAAGCUAUAGCACCUCAUUUUAUUUCAAACACUUCUUUCGCAUGACACUUCAAAAUUCAUCUCAAGCUGCCACUGGAUUUUGUGUUUCUAUUCCCUUUGAGGAACAGAGAACUAGGAGUCUAUGGAAUACAAAAAAAAAAAAAAUCCAUUUGGAAUACAAGUUUCUCUCAGUGGAUUUCUGUAUAUAUUUGGUGGGGGAGGGGGUUGGAUUCAGAUGAGUAUUCAGGGGAAUCUGAACUUUUGAUUUCUCAACCCAUAUCACCCAUACAAUUGAUGGUUGCCCUUUGAGCAAGUUUGUAUAGUUUCCUUAUGUAAGUCAGUCCAAGGUUGAAAUCCAGAAAUGUGAAUGGAAAGUGUUCCGACAUAGACUUCCAACAUAGAAUUGUUAGUCUAGACUUUAGUCGCCUGUGUACUUUGACCAGCCAAACAUUGUUUUGUGGGGUGUGAAUGCAUAAACUACUUUGGUAUCUAUGCACCCCAUACACAUACAUAUAUAUUAUAAGAUAGCAGAAACUGAUUCACCACAGCUACCUUGUGUUUUUCAUUCUCAUAUAUGCAUAACUAGUAACAUUUUCAUGCCACAUCUGAUGCUUGCAUAACUGGUGCAUAGAGUAUGGAAGAACAUUUGGUUGGUUACAUGGUUUUGGCUAUCCGGUUUUGGGCUUUUCCUCCCCUUUUUCCUUGUUUCUUUCGAUUGCCCCUUCCCCCUUACUUCCAAUGUGAUUUGCUAACUGGGCUUGUAGUUGAUGAAGUGAAAUUCAGGCCAAGAAAUCUAUGUCCCUAAACAUUGGAGUUCUUACAGAAGAGCCAUUGGGGAACCAUAUCCAAGGGGGGAUGCUGAGAUGAAGGGAAGCAUAAACACUAUAUGAUGGCACUGAAUUUGCUCAUCAUCGAGGUUUGUAAUUGUUGCUAUUUGAGCUUGCAGAUACCCAUCUUUCUUCAAGUGCUUGCAUGAAUGGACAACUGGUAGCUUACACCUAUUCUUAGAGCAGAUCAGUAAUAUCAACAUUGUGAUUCAUGAGAGCCAUCAAAACUUAAUUGGCAUAGAUUCAUGCAGCCCACCAAUUGGUUUUGGUUUGAUUAUAUCCCUAGUGGUUGUUUUCUAUUUUA